rnacentral:rRNA from 1 species
AGCGAACAUUGGCGGUAGGCUUAACACAUGCAAGUCGAGCGAGGCGUAAUAGUCGAGCGGCGAACGGGUGCGUAAUACAUGGGAAUCUACCUCGAAGUGGGGGAUAACGUCCAGAAAUGGACGCUAGUACCGCAUAAUCCAUAUUGGGAAAGCGUUGCAGCGCUUUGAGAUGAGCCCAUGGCUGAUUAGCUAGUUGGUGAGGUAAUGGCUCACCAAGGCGACGAUCAGUAGCUGGUCUGAGAGGAUGACCAGCCACACUGGAACUGAGACACGGUCCAGACUCCUACGGGAGGCAGCAGUGGGGAAUCUUGCGAAAUGGGGGCAACCCUGACGCAGCCAUACCGCGUGAGUGAUGAAGGUCUUCGGAUUGUAAAGCUCUUUCGGCGGGGACGACGAUGACGGUACCCGCAAAAGAGGUCACGGCUAACUUCGUGCCAGCCGCCGCCGUAA